AUUUUCAGAUGUUUGGACUUCUGCUUCCUCCACCAAAGUGGAGGUGGGCGUGGCCUCUGAGGGAAUGUCCCAUAAAGCUAAGCUAACAUGUGAGAUAUAAACUUUCCUCUUUUGUCCUUUUUGUCUUCACGCUCAUCUGUCGUAUCUUGGAGCUGUAAUCACAUCCUCGAACCCACGUGGACGAGUUUCCUGCUGCAGCAGACGUCCACUCAGACACGCUGCGGAUGUCGGAAAAGCCUUUCAGGAACCGAACCUCCUCCUGUCCCCUGUUCUCCCAGGAGACUCAACUCCAGAAAACAUCCCGUUCAGACACAUCCAGGAGACUCGGACACACCUGAACCUGGAGGUGGGAGGAGCAUGUGACCAGCCGCUCUUCUGAGAACGACCAAUCACUGUGAAGCUCAGAGAGUGACUUAACUCAAACUGUUUCACACACAGAUCACCUGAACGGACCAACAGGUGUGUCUGUUAAAGGAAGAUAUCAUAGACAUAAACAGGUUAAGAUUUUAAAUAUUAUUCAAGAUCCUGGAACCUCGUGGAGAACAAAAAGAAGCAAAAAGAAAAUGUACUCGAUUUGUUUGUUAGAAUCCUUUACAACUUUAAUCUCCUCUAAUUUUAUUUUUGGUUUGUUUUCGUGAAUAUUUAAGAUUCUGGAUAUGUUCUGUUGUUGUUUCAAUGGAACAGUUGAAGGUGGAGAUGACUCAACACAAAAUAAACUAAAGUUCUAAUGGAGGUGAUGAAUGACCUCAAGUAGCUGAAACAUUAUGGGCCAACAGGUGGCGCUGUAACAGAUUUCAUGACCUUUGGUGAGAAAAAUGACCUUUAAUAGUAAA